UUUCCUCCGUCACCUUUGUUAUACCGUCAGCAUUUGAGCCGUCAACCACGGAGUCAGCUGAUCCUAUGACCGUCAGCAUAAGCACCGUCUACUACGCCCAAAGAAAAAGUAUUAAUCCGUCGGCUUUAUGUCCGUGUGGUUUAAGCUCUCCUUUUAUCCUCAUCAGUUGCCCCCUACUCUACAUGUUCGACGAGUAAGACCGUCAGCAUGUGGAGUUAGAAGAUGAUUAGAGAAAAAUCAAAUAUGAACGACUCCUCGAUCUUCGAGCUAUUAAAUGCAAGGUCACGUGGCAUUCAGUCGUUGGCCUCGUUUCUGGGCGCGGGCGUCGCCUCGUCUUCCGUGCGUUUUCUCUCCUGUAUAAAUACCACGCCCCUUGACUCAUUUCAUCAUUUCAACCUCGCUGGUUUUUCAAGAGAGAAUCCGUCACCCUUACCUCCAAUUUGAUCCGUCAGCUGUUAUCAACACCGUCACUUUCAAGGUCGUUCCAUCCAUUCAAGAUCUGCUUCACCUGUAAGUUCUUCUUUCCUUCUCUUCGCUUUUUUCUCCCUUUUUUAUUUUUGUCUGAAAAAACAAAGUCAGUCUAGGAACUUAGAGCAUAUCCGUCACUUGUAGGUAGUCAGAUGUCGAGUGACGCGUCGAGUGAUCAGUCGUCAGUCCGCGAUGGAGCGGGCUACGACGAAUUCUUUGGCUCAGGUCAAGAGUCCGACGGCUUUUCUGAAUCGUCAGGAAAGGAAACGUCAGCCCAGUCCCUUAGUAUUGAUGUAGAAGGCCAAGUUGAGGAAGUUAGGGAUAAAGUGUUAAGUGAGGUUGAGGUCGAGAGGAGAGACGAGGAAAUUUGUGUUGACGGGAACGGGGAUGAAGGCGACGAGGAGUCGGAUAGUGACGGGAGUAGGGACGAGGGUAACGAGGUUAGUAGUGACGGAAAUGAGGAUGAAGGUGACGACGAGUCCUGUGAUGGAACUUCAGGGAGUUCUGGAGGUAACCGUCCCUUCAUCCUCCCGGAGGAGUGGGCCGUCAAUAAAUUCCUUCCAAAGAUGAGCAACAGAGUUUUUAACGAGUUGCGUACCCGUUUCCAAAUCCCAGACCACAUUCCUAUCCGUCUCCCUAGAAAAAAUGAGAAGUGUUAUACAGGGAGGACUGCUGAUGUGGGGAUGUACGAUGCCAUGUUUGCUGCUGGCCUUAGAUUACCACUGACGGCUUUACACCGUCAGCUAGCGGAUUUCUUGGGAUUGUCCGUCAGCCAAAUUGCUCCGAAUGCCUGGAGGAUUUUUAUUGGUGCUGAGAUCCUUUGGGGUCGCUUGAGUGGGGGGAACCGUCAGCUUUCGCUAGACGAGUUCUUUUAUUGCUACAGACCCCAGCAUAAAGUAUCUGCCAAGGGGACCUACCAUUUUGCUCCACGUGAGAAGAGCUUAAGAUUAGUGUUUGAUAUGCCAGACUCCAAUAGAAAUUGGAAGAAUAGAUUUUUCUUUGUUAAAGGGACGGAUUGGGUGUGCCGUCCAGGUGAGUGGGAUACACUGCCUGGCGGUUAUUUUGAUAACACUUGGGCCUAUAUUAGGGAGUCAGGUUGCCCCCUUGUCCUUCUUCUUACCGUCUCUUUUCAUUUAUCAGGGAGUUUUCUUGAGUCCGUCUCCUUUAACACCGUCUAUUCCCUUUUAUUUCAGCUAGCGCUCGCCCGGAGAUAUCUGACGAACAAAGGGAAUUUAUCCGUCGGAUACUUGGCAUACCGCUUGAGCAACGGAAGUGUAGGGACUUAAUCACCCUAGACACUCUCCAUUUGUAUUGUGGGGGUCCAGAGCCGACGGUUGAAGCUCGGAAGUUGGAAGAAUUUUCUCGUAAACGUAAGUCGAAGCCUUACAUGACCCGUCGGUUUAUUUCUUUCGUCGGCUAUUACUGAUCCGUCAAUUUAUUUUGUGUAGAGAUGGAAGCUGCGAAGCAAAGGGUGAGGGCCGCUGCAGCCCGUAAGAAGGAGGAGGAGAAAGCUAAGGGAAAAGAAGGAGCGUCAACCCCUCAUUCCUCUUUGAAGAGUUCAGUUAAGAGGAAGGCUGACGGAAAGGACGAUCCCCCUUCUAAGAAGGUAGCUGUCAGUGCUGGGGAUGUGCCUUCCACGAAGUCGCCUCCCAAGUCUGGUCACGGUGCUGGGAAAGGAGUGAUGACCUCUUCCGGUCCCGUCAUUGAGGGACCCCGUUGCUUGCUGACCCACAAGGAUUAUGCUGUUGAGGGGGUAGAAUCCCUCAUAAAACAGACGGAUCUGGACCCUUGUGCUCAGCUAGGGACGGAAGACCUGGGGGCGUCAGCUUUCUUUGACAUAGCACGGGCCUUGGUUCGUGUAAAAGCACUUCAAGACCGGUGCGUGGCCAAAGAAGGCGUCGUUUCUCGGGUUAGGAGGCAUAACGCCAAUCUGAUGGAUCAGCAAGCGCAAUAUAAGGAGGCCGUCCGUCUCUUAAACUCAGAGCUGAAGGAUGUAAAGGAGAAGUUGGGGGAGGCUGAGGGUCAGCAGAAGAAGCUUGAGGAGGAGGUUUCAUCCUUACGUGCACAAGUAGAGACGGCUGGGACUGACGCGGUCCAAAAAUUCAAGACAACCCAGUCAUUUAUUGAUUCCUGCGCUGAUUAUUACGGCACAGGUUUCGACGAUUGUCUGAAGCAGGUAGCGUCAGCUUAUCCAGAGUUGGAUCUAUCCGGAAUUACCAUGGAUGCCUCCGUGCCGAUGACUCCUGCUCGUGAAACUGUUGCUGACAAAGGUGACGGACCCCUUAGUUUGGACUCUUUGCUUAAUGAUGCCGGAGUUAUUUUGGCUCAGCCAGCCGUCACUAUCCCUGCCGAGUCUUCAGAUGCGGCGCAAAUUGCCAAGGAUAAAGCUGACAGGGUCUCCAAGGAUGUUCCUGCCACUUAACCCUGGCUUUUCUAUUGUAAUUUUUGAACAAUGUUUUUAAAUGCCCUUCCGUUUAUUGGGCUUUUUACUUGUAACUCUAUCUUCCCCUUUUUAUGGCACUUGGAAUCCGUUGCUUCGAACACGUAUGUUGAUUCUAAUUUCUUAUGGUCCCAUUUAUUUGACGAGAUUGUUACCUUUCGAUUUUUUAGCCCCCUUUUUUUGUCAUUUGAACGGGCUUUGUUGGUUUGAGAACCACGUUUGUAAGUAGGGUCUUACUUUUUCGUUAGACCGUCAUCUAUUGGACCGUCUGUAUUAUAGGUCCGUUAGUUCUAGGACUUGGUCCAUACGAUGAUAUUUUCAUCUAUUUGAUCGUCAGCUUUUUAGCCUCCGUUAGUCCCUUAGCCUUGAUGUCUUUGACAUCCUUUUUGGCCCGUCAGCUUUUUAAGCCUUUGGUGUAUCUAAUCACCUUCAUUAGUCCUUUGUUUUUUAGGACCUCGUCCAUAUG